rnacentral:lncRNA from 1 species
UUGGGACAGCACAGACUAGGAAGAACCCUAUGCAUGCAUAAGGUUCCAUAUUUUGAUGAUGGAAAAUGCCCCCAUACUCAUAGAUAGGCAGAGUUAACACUGUGAAAGUAGCUGUAUUACCAGUCUUCGCUCCACAUUGAGAAAUGUGCCUGGCUGUAUAAAAAUAUAAAGCAUAAGAGAUCUCUGGAAGACAUCUAACAGCCAGCAUGAAGCAAACUUGAAAAGGCUGCCUGGGUCAGCAAUAUUUAAACACAAGACAGAUUCCAAGUCAGAUGUUAAAAGGAAUUAGUUUUGUGGUAUAUUUUCAUUUUAUGUGCUCUUGAAUUUAUACAAGAGCCAUAGGAAAUAACUGCUCAGUUGAAUAACUCUUCUCACAGACAUGCUCUACACAUUGUUAUUGUUACUAGAGCUGGCUCUAUAGAAUGGUAGAUUAACCUGACAUAAAGAAUCUGAAGCUGGGCUGGUGAGAUGGCUCAGUGGGUAAGAGCACCCGACUGCUCUUCCGAAGGUCCAGAGUUCAAAUCCCAGCAACCACAUGGUGGCUCACAAACCAUCCGUAGCGAGAUCUGACUCCCUCUUCUGGAGUGUCUGAAGACAGCUACAAUGUACUUCCAUAUAAUAAAUAAAUAAAUCUUAAAAAAAAAAAAAAAAAAAAAAAAAAAAGAAUCUGAAGCUAAGAUUCUGCCCUCAGUUAAAACAGAAAACGAACUGUGUAGGCUAGGCCCUGGAAAGACACAUGAUCCCUACGACUGAAGAGUUCUUACUGGGGCAAAGUACUUCAUGGAAGGAGACAGGUGUGAUUUUAAAAGUCUGUAUGCUAAAUAAUAGAUGUUUGCAUUAAAGGGUUAAUAAAUGAAAUCUGUUUUAAGAAAAAUUAUUUUGAAAAUUCUGACCUUUGGUAUUACACACGAGGCUGGCAAAGGUUCAGUGGAAUCGGGAGAUUCCCCUCCAUUACCAUUGGCACUGUCGGGCAACAGCGCAGUGUGGAGGGAGAGGUGGAAAGAUUCCCAGUGGCCCGCAAGCCUCAGAAAGAUUCCCGUGCUCAUGAGAAACUCCCAAGGAACCUGAAGUCUGUGAUACCGUCACAACAAAACACCGAAACAACUUGAGUGUCCUUUGUUAGGGAAGUCAAUUAAUGGAUGAUGCUAUACCCCCCACACUAGAACAGUAUGCUGCCACUCUGGUUCUCAGACCCUAGCGAUUGUGCUUGUCACUGUAGUUAGAAUGUACCAAGGUAACACGUAAGUAUGAUUGCUCGACUUGAUGUUUCUGUACAUUGUAAUGAUAUGCUACCUAUUAGUUUUGAUUUGUUUCUUCUCAGAGAGAAAAUAGUCUAACUUUUUAUAUUCUCUGAAAUACCCAAGGGUUUUACAAGCAUGAAGGAUUUAAGGGGAAGACUAUUAAAAAAUUGUUAAAUUAGUUUACCGAUAAUUGCUUAUUCCAUUUAUUUUAAGAAUUACAUGGAUUAUUUAUCCCGACUAUAUGAAAGAGAAAUCAAAGAUUUCUUUGAAGUUGCAAAGAUGAAGAUGACUGGCACCUCUAAAGAAAGCAAGAAGUUUGGUAAGCCUGGCCCUGGGCUCAGCGUCUCCUAUUGAGAGUAAUCUUUCUUACUGAGAUGGGACUCUGAGGCUUUUAAACAAGUUGGGAGCAAACACACAGAGCUGAAGAGGCGGGCAUCUGUCCCAGUGUUCUCCACACACUUAGGUUCUGUAGUGUGUCAGUCCAGCAGAAGCCGGGCACACGAUGAGUUGUGAGGUCGCUGUGGAUAGGGGAAGCAGAGGUAAUGUGUGCAGUGCAGCCUGUAGAGAGGGUUAGACAAGGGUCACACUGGAAAUUGCUGAGAGUGGUUUCUGAUCCAGAGACUGUUGCAGGUGGGACAAGUCAUUGCUCUCUGCAGAGAAAGAACUAGGUCGUUCCUAGGUUCCUACUUCUCACUGGCUGCUUUGAAUUUUAGAAAAGUGGGUUUCUUUCUCUCUGCCAAGGGUAUAUAAAAAUGUCACCAGAAUCUCCCUUGUAAUUGUACCUUAUUUUUCUUAAGCAAUAUAUUUGGGGCCUGUUGCUUUUUUUUCUUCCCUAACAUUUAAAGGGAUAAGAACAGUGUUUGAGAGAAGAGCCAGUGAAAGUAUGAAGCUAGGAAAGGAUGUGCUGAGGCCACGUUCUGCUCUUGCAUGUACCCAUCUCUGGAGUUCUCUUUGGAUGGAGUUCUGUGCCUAGUCAAGUCCAAACCUGGCCUUUAAGGGCUACAUUGUGCACUCCUCGGUGUGUCUUCGGACUCCCUUUAGAACACUGAGUUUAGCAUUGACUGUUGAAAGGAGCCUAUGCCCUAAGCAUCUGCAGGAAGCAGGCAGCAGCACUGAGCAUCGCUGUCUUUAGAUGUCCUAAUUUGGGACUCACUAUUAAUGAUUGUAAUCUGGACAUUGAAGCGGUUUGGGUUUGUCUGUUAAUGUGCUACCCUCUGUAAAACCCUCUCUUGGACAGUAGGCUUUGACAACAGAAAUGCUAACUCACCCUAAAGGCUAACUGUUCUUAAACAGCAGUGUGUUUGGAGCCUUGUUGCUGUUUCACUGUGGAUAUGCUGUGCCGUUUUGGGGCAAAGAGCAUAAUAUAAUGCAGUUACAUGUUUAAUGUUUUCAUGAAGUAUUUCUGUCAUCACUUCUUAGUGUGCCACUUAAUGCUGAGAAAUCUCUUCUGCAUGAGAAAACAAGUUGGAUACACAUAAAGAUAAAUGAAGUAAAAAUGCAAUCGUAGCUUUAUAUAUCAUGUUAUCCUAGAGCUUAAGCCUUUUCUUUUCCUACCCUAAAUUCUUAAAUUACCUUGCUAAAGUAUUGUAAUUUACAUAAUAGAGGGUUAGGAUGUAUUGUGCAGCUUUAAAACAAUGUCAUAACAAAAUGAUAAAUUUCCAAUACUCUAUUAAAUAUUGUUGGAUAAGAGAGUAAUUUGUGAUAAUUCAUCAUAAAAAUUAUAGUAUCAGUUAUUUUGUUAUCAUAUGC